ACAUUCUGUUAAAGUAUUCUAUCCAAUUUUCCUUCAGUGAGGCAAUAAUAUGGAACUUGUAUGAAUCUCAGUGUUCUUCUACCUGCUCCAAAGGCAUACAGAAGAUCAGCUUUGCUCUGAGAAGUUGCAAGUCACUUCAUCCCUUUCUGAAACUAGUGGAUUAUUGAUGAACAUAUCACCCUAGGGAUGCCCUUUCCGUGAUGUCCUGUUGCCUGGAGGCAGUGCGGGCUUGGACUCAGACUCAACCCAUCCAAGACUGAGUGGCUGGGAAUGCCGGCAUCGCGGGAUCUAGAGGACACAUUGGUUGAGUUCAUCUUUUGGGGCCCUGGCCAUGAGUCCUGAAAUUGGAGUAAAUAAUGCAUACAGUAUAUAAUU